ACAACUUUCAACAACGGAUCUCUUGGCUCUCGCAUCGAUGAAGAACGCAGCGAAAUGCGAUACGUGAUGUGAAUUGCAGAAUUCAGUGAAUCAUCGAAUCUUUGAACGCACCUUGCGCCCCUUGGCAUUCCGAGGGGCACACCCGUUUGAGUGUCGUGA
rnacentral:rRNA from 1 species